UAAAUGUUUCAUGAUAAUGGGUUAGGUAAAUGUUUCAUGAUAAGAAUAUCAUGUCUUUUGUAUUAAAGAAUUAAAUGGAUGAAAUAUGAAGUUUUAUUAAAAGAAAAAAAAGGGGUGAAAAGAACAAAGUUUUGUCCAUCUUUGUUCAUCAUAGCUGAAAGUUAGAGAAGAGAAAGGAGAGGAGAAAGCUCUUGAGUAUUCGGUCAUUAGGAGGAGAAAAAUUGAAGGCGGUUUGUGUGCGGAUCUCGUCAGCAUAUCGUCGCAAACAGGUGUGUAACUAACACCCUCUUUCUUAGUCUGGAUCGGCAAAAGUCGAAAAGCCGAAAUGCCGAAAACCGGUAUUUUGUAGAUUUGCGAGUGUGCAAAUGCUCGUAAGGUAAAUCGAUUAAUGUUUUUGGUAAGCUGCAAAAUUUGGACUGCAAAGUGCAUGAUUUCUGUGCCAUCGAUAUUUUUGGGCUUAAUGGGCCAAAAUUGGAAUGAUGGGCCAACGGGCCCAAUUCGGUAAGAACCCU